GUAGGGGCCUAGCGUUGUCCGGAUUCAUUGGGCGUAAAGAGCUCGUAGGCGGUUCAGUCAGUCGGGUGUGAAAUCUCCGGGCUCAACCCGGAGGGGCCACCCGAUACUGCUGUGACUCGAGUCCGGUAGGGGAGUGGGGAAUUCCUGGUGUAGCGGUGAAAUGCGCAGAUAUCAGGAGGAACACCGGUGGCGAAGGCGCCACUCUGGGCCGGUACUGACGCUGAGGAGCGAAAGCGUGGGUAGCAAACAGGAUUAGAUACCCUGGUAGUCCACGCCGUAAACGGUGGGCACUAGGUGUGGGUCCUUACCAACGGGAUCCGUGCCGUAGCUAACGCAUUAAGUGCCCCGCCUGGGGAGUACGGCCGCAAGGCUAAA
rnacentral:rRNA from 1 species